rnacentral:lncRNA from 1 species
AAAUAAAAAGUCUCUUCAAACAGCUCCUAAAUGUGAUGGUCCCGGGGUAUCAGUUAUGCUCGAGCUGUGGUAAAUGAAUUCAUACCUGAAUGAGAAAAAUAAGACCAAAUAGAUUGGUGACUCGAGACGCUAUGAUUCCAUAAAAUUUCCUAAUGGAUAGAUGCAAGACACGAUUUGACUAUAUCUGACUCGAGACAUUAUGUAAGACCACAACACCUCCUAUUGGACACAUGCCUGACACGAUUGGGCAAUUUUUUGAAAAUUAACUUAUGUGGGCUAAAGUGACUAGAAGUGCAAACUCAAUAAAGGUGAACUCAAAGAUAGAAAUGCCUCAUUAAGUCUUAUAUGGAUUCAAAUACACAAUAAUCAUAGCCCAAAAUUAAUUUACAGAAAUGACCCAUUUUGCAAAAAUAGCCUAUGUUGCCGAAAGUGGCUAAAGAUGAAAACUCAAAAGAAAUUGGGCCUUAACGUAAUAUGACACCUAGUUGUGGACUCCAAAUCCUAAUACAUGGCCAAUUGAACGACUUUUGCAAAAAUGACCCCAUUUGGAAAGAAUGACCGAUGUGACCAAAAUUAGCUAAACAUGCAAGAAAUGACUAAGACCCCGCAAAGCCAAUAACCUAAGACUCACUAGGAAGACUGGAUCCUAUGUUGGUUGCCUACUUAUCCCCCCUCGAAAGACGAGAAUCAGGUUCACGUAGUUCGGGAAGAUUGGACAUGGCAGAAAGCCUUAAAAAAUGCAACUAAUUUGAAAAACUAUAUUUUUUGUCUUUUUGAAAAAUGAAUCUUUUUGGAUUUUCUUUUCCUCCUUUUUUUUUGAAUUUUUGAAAAAUUAUGGAAAAUGUAAAAUCUUUUUGGAUUUUCUUUUUCUCCUUGUUUUUUUUUUAAUUUUUAAAAAAUGAUGGAAGAUGUAAAAUCUUUUUGGAUUUUCUUUUUCUUUUUUUUAAAUUUUAUUGAAAAAAAAUGAAAAGUAUAAAACCUUUUUGGAGUUUCUAUGUCAUUUUUUUGGAAAAUAAUGAGGAAAGUGUAAAGUCUUUUGGAUUUUCUAUUUCAUUUGAAAACCCUCUUUAAAGCCUAUAUCGCGUCGUUUAAGGCACAGUAACCGUCUUCCAUGUUAGAUUCAUCGUUGGACCUUGUUACCGUGCCGAAAAAGACGUUAUAGCGACCAUCCUGGGCCUUCCACGAUUGUUGACCUGUCUCGGACCAGGGAAGACGUUCUUCAAGACUUUUUUGGAAAAUAAUGGGGAAAGUGAAAAUCUUUUUGGAUUUUCUAUUUUAAGUUUUUUUUUCUUUUUGGAAAAUAAUGAAAAAGUAUAUAAUCACCUGCUUCAUUUUAUAUUUCACCCUCAUAUAUCCUUGGUCCACCAAAUGACCCUUGUACCCCUAAAGAGAUGCAACAUGUAGCACGUAGGGAUGAUUAAAUGUCUUUUUGGUUCAUAAGCCCAUUUUGACAUAAUUUGGAUAGGCCUCCUACAAUGGGACACAGUGUCUAGUACCAAACCCUGCUAGGUUUAAAUGAUAUGAUGCAAAUAAGUAUGACCUAAAGGCUGACCUACUGUUGGGGUUCACUAGACAAGGCAAUUCGGCGCGACACGUGGUCGAUGGUGCUGCUCUAGCUGUCAGCCCACUCCAUGCUCCUACGCCACCCCCAAAGACACGGGCGACUCACAAAAGGCCAUGUACACUCAAACAUACUUCGGAAGACUUGUUGCAGAAAGAAGACUCGGGGUUAUGCAAAUGAUGACAAUUAUAAAGCAGUAAACACAUAAAUCAAAAACAGUAAACACAUAAACAACUAGCAAAUAGUAACAAAUAUAUAAAACAAAAUAAAAUCAAGUAAAUCUUAUGAAAAAAUCAUAAAAACCUCAACCAAUUAUUGUAAAAGCAAACAAAAUCAAAUACUAGCUCAAACCUGCUUGUCCUUAGCAGAGUCGCCAUAGAUGUCACACCCCCCCCCCCCCCCCUUUUUUGUCUUUUUGGGCUUUAAAAUUGGGCUCAAAGAUAUUGAGUUAAAAACAAAUGUCUAAAUCUUAAUUAAAUCACUUUUAAUAUAAGAUAAAUAUACAACAUAAUGCAAAAUUUAAUCUAAUUAAUUAAAUUAAAUUAUAUAUAAAAUAUAAAUCUGUUUUGUAUUUUUCAAAUGUUACAUUAAAAUAAAGUAGGUUCAAAGCACUAUAUCCUUCUAAAAAUAUCUAAUACUUGAAUUAAAUUGAGAAAUAUGGAACUAUUUCUGUAAUUUUUAAUUUUUGUUCUUAAAAUAAAGUAAAAGAGUUCAAACUAGUUAAAAUAACUAUAUUAGACCAAGGGGUUUUUAAAUAUUAAAAGUGGCAAAAAAUUGUUCAAAAGGAAAUAACUUAGAGUCGCCACUUGACUUUUAGAAUAUUUCAGACUCUAAACUAAGUCUGCACCAGAGAUUCGGGUAAGAGGGUUUAUUUGACUCGGGUAGAAGGUGAUAGGCACUCCCAAGUCCCGUGAAAGUCAUGGUUGCAUACAUGAUCAAGUUGGUUCUUAGAAUAUUCAAAUUGAGGUAAAAAUAAACAUGGAAAGAGAAAAUAAACACACACGAGGAUCGAGGUCGUCUUUUUAACCUAAUAAAAUAAAAACAAAAGUAAAAACAAAAUACUAUUCUAUGCUUGCUCAAAGUGUUCUAUCGUUGGCCUUCAAAUACAAAUACUUCGGGACAUACCCCGGAUAAAAAUAUAUACAAAUUCUACGGGACAUUCCUUAGAUAAAUUUAACUAAGGGAACAACCUCUCGCCUCAAAACUACAAAAUCCUUAGACUUGCCUACCCAAGUAUGGUCGGCCUAAACAUACUCCUACCGAUAAAUUAGUAAAGAUAACUACGCAAGUGAAGAUUUAGAAUACUAAUAACUCGUAUUUUAUCUCAUUCCAUAACCCUUAGGUCCAAUUUUAUUUUUGAAUUGCAUCUCGCCAAAUUGCUCUUUUAAAUCCAACAACUGACAGUCUCAUUUCCAAUUCAAAUUAAGCUAAUAAUUUUAAUAACUAGACGUCUGAUUCCAAUUCCAAUUCACUCGCAGUCAAUUCAAAUAGUCAUAGGAGAGGUCACAUUCAAAGACAUAGAUAACAAGUCACAAAAUCGGAUCACCAAGCAAAUAGCUAACAUUAGAACAAGUAAAGGAUUGAACCUUAUUGCACGAAACCUUUGGAUUAAAUUUCAGCAGCUACCAAUGUGGUUCAAAGCAGCAAAUUCAACUCGAAUCAAACCAACGCACCACACCUCAGACGGAAACUCUAACAAUCGAAUACCCGUUACAACUCGACUUCAUUUCGGAAUCCAAGACCAAAGGAACAACGGCUUUUGUUUUUGGUCGUUGGAGAGAGAGAUCGACGUCGCCAGAGAAAUUCUAUCAUCGAUGAAAUCGGAUCUUGCCUUCUUGGAAACAACGUUUAAUGGAAACCAAUUUCUUUGUAAAAGUAAAAUAUUCACAAGUUUGAAUUACUGGAACUAAUUUAACAAUACAUAUGAAAUCUAAAAAAUGUCAAAAGGCAGAGUUCUUGAUUAAGCCUUCGCCGGAAAGCUAUUGUCCGAUCAACUUCUUUUUUUUCUCUUCACAAUCAAAGGAUGAGCAAAAAAAAAUUAAUGAGAGGGUAGUUGUGGUAGCUCUCCAUUAAUGGUUGUGAAGGAGCACAGAGGUGCAGGUUGUGGUUUAAUGUCGGUGAGGGUGGUUCAGUGCAAGGAUCGUUAGUUGGCUGGUUACUGUUGAAGGGGAUCGCCGGUGGGUGAAGACGUGGAGGUUGCCGACAGUUGUGAAUUUAAUAAUAUGGGGUCUAUUUUUGGGUGAAGGAGACGGGUUUCAAGGGGUCUUCGCCGGUUUCAGGCGGUCAUGGUGGACGUUUAGCAGCGAGUUUUAAGGGUUCUAGGGUGUGUAGUCUAGGUUCAUGUUGUAGUCUCCAUUGUUGUGUAAGGUUAGCUCCCUAGGGUUUUUUGUUGUAUCUUGUGUGUUGUAAGGUUAAUGAAGAAGGAGAAGGGUUAGGAAGAAAGUAUAAUGGGUUAGGUCUUUUUGGGCUUUAAAAUUGGGCUCAAAGAUAUUGAGUUAAAAACAAAUGUCUAAAUCUUAAUUAAAUCACUUUUAAUAU